UUUUAAACCGUUUUCUCUGACCAUGCUAAGCUAGCAGCUAGUAACUAGCCUAUACUACACAUGGUGAAAGCAUUCUCUGCUUAAAGUAUGUCCAUUUGUCCUUCAGAAUGUGAAAAUGUGCAGCUGCUAAAAUCAGUCUGCUGUAUUGCUGCUUGUUAUCUGUGUGCAGGUAUGUUGCAAGGGCAAUAAUAAUAAUUGUAUUCAGAGCUAAUGUGUUAAAAAAAAGAAAAAAAAAAACCCUAUAACACUCUAGCACAAUACUCAGCCAAGAAAGUAUGAAACAAGAAAAAAAAAUAAUACUAAACGAUCACAGUGCAGUUUUUAUAUAAUGAUAUAUUAUAUAGUAUAUCUUUAUAUAUAUAUAUAUAUAUAUAUAUAUAUAUACACUCGUUAUAUUUUUUUUUUUACACUAUAUUAUUUUUCUGUAGUUAUACUGCAUUACUGUAUUAUUAUUAUGACUGCAUUAUAAAUUUAUGUAUAUGUAUUAUACAGUCUAACAUAUGCUCUGCCAGAGAAUGUGCAAAUGUGCAGCUGCUGUAAUCAAACUGCUGUGUUGCUGCUUGCUAUCUUUGUGCAGAGGUCAAGAGAGAGAGAGAGAGAGUGCCAGACAAUAAAGAGUAAAGAGAGAAAGACAAGAGAGCGGUCUCCUGGUCCUCCUUCAUGCACGCACACGCAACCGUUACACAGGUCUCAGCGGGGGAUUUCUGAUAAUACCCUGAAAAGAUGAUGAAAAGCACAACAACUCAAAAGCUCAAGAACCCUCUUAUGUAUAUACUGCACAGGUACAGCAGCUUCUUCAGAAAAUGUUUCAGAAACUCUGCGUUCAUGAUGUGAUUUCUUUCUUGCUUUUUUGUUUCUUUUUUCUCUACUUCUGUGUCAGUAUACAGCAUAAACGGUAUGAGACAGCCAGCUUAAUAAAUAUAAUUCAUUAUGGUGAUUUGCGCA
rnacentral:lncRNA from 1 species